UUCCGGUUGAUCCUGCCGGACCUGACUGCUAUCGGAUUGAUACUAAGCCAUGCGAGUCAUUGUAGCAAUACAAGGCAUACGGCUCAGUAACGCGUAGUCAACCUAACCUAUGGACGGGAAUAACCUCGGGAAACUGAGAAUAAUGCCCGAUAGAACAUUAUGCCUGGAAUGGUUUAUGUUCCAAAUGAUUUAUCGCCGUAGGAUGGGACUGCGGCCUAUCAGUUUGUUGGUGAGGUAAUGGCCCACCAAGACUAUUACAGGUACGGGCUCUGAGAGGAGUAGCCCGGAGAUGGGUACUGAGACACGGACCCAGGCCCUAUGGGGCGCAGCAGGCGAGAAAACUUUGCAAUGUGCGAAAGCACGACAAGGUUAAUCCGAGUGGUUUCUGCUAAAGAAACCUUUUGUCAGUCCUAGAAACACUGAUGAAUAAGGGGUGGGCAAGUUCUGGUGUCA
rnacentral:rRNA from 1 species